UAUAUAAAUCGAAUCCCUUAA
rnacentral:piRNA from 1 species